UUGCUCACUUCAGCAGCACAUACACUAAGGUCGGACCAAUACAGAGAAGAUCAGCAGGGACCCUGAACAAGCAUGGCACACACAUCUGUGAAUUUGCAUCUGACCAA
rnacentral:snRNA from 1 species